rnacentral:rRNA from 1 species
UGUUACAAUGGCAGGUACAGAGGGGUGCUACCGGGUGACCGGAUGCCGAUCUCGAAAACCUGUCCCAGUUCGGACUGGAGUCUGCAACCCGACUCCACGAAGUUGGAUUCGCUAGUAAUCGCGCAUCAGCCAUGGCGCGGUGAAUACGUUCCCGGGCCUUGUACACACCGCCCGUCAAGCCAUGGGAGCCGGGGGCGCCUGAAGUCCGGGACCGCGAGGACCGGCCUAAGGCGAAACUGGUGACUGGGGCUAAGUCGUAACAAGGUACC